rnacentral:sRNA from 1 species
GAAACCCAUGGCCCGGCGAUCGUUGUGACAUCGGGAAGGGAAGUCCAAAGGGAGGAAUCCUGGAGAGGAACAGGGAGGAGGGUGCUCCAGGCUGAACCGCUGCUCGCUCUCCCUCCAGGCCAGACUUCUGGGAGUUCCCGGGCAGACGGCGUUUCGGUCCGGACCUAUUCCUGCUAGUGCAGGCCUCCAGGUGACCUCACUCGGACGGAAGAAUCUUCCCGAGGCUGGGCUGUUCCCUCUCCUGCCCGGACUGUGGCCUCGCCGGGGAGAGCGGGCGGGGGAGCUCGCGCCGAGGACUGGACCAUCUGUACAGACCAGCGGGAGUGCGCGCGCCCGCCUCGCACAGGGCCGGGGCCUGGACCAAACCACAUGAACUGGACUGAGAGGGGGAAGAAGCGGGGAGGAAGAAAUCCCGCCCCAAACGUCCGCUUUCCUUUUCUCUACUUUGUAAUUUAUUGAUCAGUUUCUGUUGGGAGACGGGUGUCCUUUACCCGCGGGAAGGGGGCGGGGCUUCCCUCCCGGGCCGCAUGCGGGGAGAGGCUGCUCCCUCCCCUUUUUCCUGCCCAGUCGCGGGGCCCAAGUCUUCCUUCUUCGUCCGAAAGGAGGGGAGGGGGGACUCGCUGCUACAAGCCUCGCCCCCUGUGCCACUCAGCUCCGCCCCGCCGCGUCCGGUCGCCGGUCCCCCGGGUCAUCUGCGGGCGGGGUCCCCUCUCCCUCCCCCGUGUCUCGUGUCCCCGGGGCCUCACCGCCCCCCGUGCUGUGGCCGUGUCCGUGCCCCGGGGGUAGGGGGCGCAGAAUGGCGCUUCCCCUUCUCCUCUGGCUCCGGGGUUUGCAUGGGAGAAUCCUCUUUCCACGAUGCCGCUGGGCGACGUGGCGUGGGGGCAGGGGGACGGUGAGGAGCCCUCGCCCCCGACUCUCGGUCGGCCUCCCCGCCCCAGGCGUCACUCAGUGAUCACGGGUAAAGAGAACUGUUUC